rnacentral:rRNA from 1 species
CGGCGUGCUUAACACAUGCAAGUCGAACGAUGAUGCCCACUUGUGGGUGGAUUAGUGGCGAACGGGUGAGUAACACGUGAGUAACCUGCCCUUGACUCUGGGAUAAGCCUGGGAAACUGGGUCUAAUACCGGAUAUGACCUUCCAUCGCAUGGUGGUUGGUGGAAAGCUUUUGUGGUUUUGGAUGGACUCGCGGCCUAUCAGCUUGUUGGUGGGGUAAUGGCCUACCAAGGCGACGACGGGUAGCCGGCCUGAGAGGGUGACCGGCCACACUGGGACUGAGACACGGCCCAGACUCCUACGGGAGGCAGCAGUGGGGAAUAUUGCACAAUGGGCGCAAGCCUGAUGCAGCGACGCCGCGUGAGGGAUGACGGCCUUCGGGUUGUAAACCUCUUUCAGUAGGGAAGAAGCGAAAGUGACGGUACCUGCAGAAGAAGCGCCGGCUAACUACGUGCCAGCAGCCGCGGUAAUACGUAGGGCGCAAGCGUUAUCCGGAAUUAUUGGGCGUAAAGAGCUCGUAGGCGGUUUGUCGCGUCUGCCGUGAAAGUCCGGGGCUCAACUCCGGAUCUGCGGUGGGUACGGGCAGACUAGAGUGAUGUAGGGG